rfam:Oryza sativa Japonica Group DNA, chromosome 2, cultivar: Nipponbare, complete sequence.
AAUAAGUUCAUUUGUGGGUUUCUGGGUCCAACGUUUGACCGUCCGUCUUAAUUAAAUGCUUUUUAUGAUUAGUAAUUUUUGUUGUUAUUAAAUGAUAAAACAUGAAUAGUACCUUAUGUGUGACUUUUUUUAAAGUUUUUUAUAUUUUUUAAAUAAUACGGAGGGUCAAACGUUGUACACAGAAACCCACAAAUAAACUUUUU